UUGUUCGCAAUGGGCGCAAGCCUGACGACGCAACGCCGCGUGGAGGAUGAAGACCUUCGGGUCGUAAACUCCUGUCGAGUGGGAAGAAACGCUUCGGGGCCAACACCCCCGGAGUUUGACGGUACCACUAAAGGAAGCACCGGCCAACUCCGUGCCAGCAGCCGCGGUAAUACGGGGGGGGCAAGCGUUGUUCGGAAUUACUGGGCGUAAAGGGCUCGUAGGCGGCCAACUAAGUCGGAUGUGAAAUCCCCAGGCUCAACCUGGGAACUGCAUCCGAUACUGGAUGGCUUGAAUUUGGGAGAGGGAUGCAGAAUUCCAGGUGUAGCGGUGAAAUGCGUAGAUAUCUGAGGAAUACCGGUGGCGAAGGCGGCAUCCUGGACCAACAUUGACGCUGAGGAGCGAAAGCUAGGGGAGCAAACGGG
rnacentral:rRNA from 1 species